rnacentral:rRNA from 1 species
GUGAACGCUGGCGGUAGGCCUAACACAUGCAAGUCGAACGGCAGCACAGUAAGAGCUUGUUCUUACGGGUGGCGAGUGGCGGACGGGUGAGGAAUACAUCGGAAUCUACUUUUUCGUGGGGGAUAACGUAGGGAAACUUACGCUGAUACCGCAUACGACCUACGGGUGAAAGCAGGGGAUCUUCGGACCUUGCGCGAUUGAAUGAGCCGAUGUCGGAUUAGCUAGUUGGCGGGGUAAAGGCCCACCAAGGCGACGAUCCGUAGCUGGUCUGAGAGGAUGAUCAGCCACACUGGAACUGAGACACGGUCCAGACUCCUACGGGAGGCAGCAGUGGGGAAUAUUGGACAAUGGGCGCAUGCCUGAUCCAGCCAUACCGCGUGGGUGAAGAAGGCCUUCGGGUUGUAAAGCCCUUUUGUUGGGAAAGAAAAGCAGCAGGUUAAUACCCCGCUGUUCUGACGGUACCCAAAGAAUAAGCACCGGCUAACUUCGUG